AAAGUCCUGCAGGGAGCAACGCCGCGUGAGUGAUGAAGGCUUUCGGGUCGUAAAACUCUGUUGUUAGGGAAGAACAAGUGCUAGUUGAAUAAGCUGGCACCUUGACGGUACCUAACCAGAAAGCCACGGCUAACUACGUGCCAGCAGCCGCGGUAAUACGUAGGUGGCAAGCGUUAUCCGGAAUUAUUGGGCGUAAAGCGCGCGCAGGUGGUUUCUUAAGUCUGAUGUGAAAGCCCACGGCUCAACCGUGGAGGGUCAUUGGAAACUGGGAGACUUGAGUGCAGAAGAGGAAAGUGGAAUUCCAUGUGUAGCGGUGAAAUGCGUAGAGAUAUGGAGGAACACCAGUGGCGAAGGCGACUUUCUGGUCUGUAACUGACACUGAGGCGCGAAAGCGUGGGGAGCAAACAGGAUUAGAUACCCUGGUAGUCCACGCCGUAAACGAUGAGUGCUAAGUGUUAGAGGGUUUCCGCCCUUUAGUGCUGAAGUUAACGCAUUAAGCAC
rnacentral:rRNA from 1 species